rnacentral:rRNA from 1 species
GAUCCUGGCUCAGGAUGAACGCUGGCGGCGUGCUUAACACAUGCAAGUCGAACGGGAAACCUUUUAUUGAAGCUUCGGCAGAUUUAGAUUGUUUCUAGUGGCGGACGGGUGAGUAACGCGUGGGUAACCUGCCUUGUACAGGGGGAUAACAGUCAGAAAUGACUGCUAAUACCGCAUAAGCGCACAGGACCGCAUGGUCCGGUGUGAAAAACUCCGGUGGUAUAAGAUGGACCCGCGUUGGAUUAGCUAGUUGGG